AACGAACGCUGGCGGCAGGCCUAACACAUGCAAGUCGAACGCUGUAGCAAUACAGAGUGGCAGACGGGUGAGUAACACGUGGGAAUCUUCCUAUCGGUACGGAAUAGCUCAGGGAAACUUGAGGUAAUACCGCAUACGCCCUUCGGGGGAAAGAUUUAUCGCCGAUAGAUGAGCCCGCGUCUGAUUAGCUAGUUGGUGAGGUAAUGGCUCACCAAGGCGACAAUCAGUAGCUGGUCUGAGAGGAUGACCAGCCACACUGGGACUGAGACACGGCCCAGACUCCUACGGGAGGCAGCAGUGGGGAAUAUUGGACAAUGGGCGCAAGCCUGAUCCAGCCAUGCCGCGUGAGUGACGAAGGUCUUCGGAUUGUAAAGCUCUUUUGCCAGGGACGAUAAUGACGGUACCUGGAGAAUAAGCCCCGGCUAACUUCGUGCCAGCAGCCGCCGUAAAAC
rnacentral:rRNA from 1 species